rnacentral:lncRNA from 1 species
CAACACAACCCGACGCCUCUUAACGUAGCUCCAUUCGCAUCUUGAAAAGAAAUAUAGAUUUGCUGUUCGAGAAGGCGUCCACAAGCAUGUGCAUAUAAAACAAGUGCAGUUGGCUGCCGCGAUGUUGGGCUGGGGUGUCAAGAGUUGCCUGGGCUGCCGAUUCGUAAGGACUACGCAGAAGAGACAACAAGUUUUGCUAGGCAACCCUCCCGUAGAAAAUGAUCAAGCCACUGUUCGCAAGCAGCCUUCAUGCUACUAAUAGCAGCCGGGAUGGCUUUUGCGGCUCCACAAACACCUUCAGCAGCCGUAGCCUUGGAUGCGCUUCAGCACAUGAACUUGUUCGCUACUACGCCAAUUAAAACAGGCGUGUGGAAGCAGGGCGAGCCGUUCUUCCCAUUCCUGCCAUUCAAUCCAGCCGUUGGAUUUGUCCUGGGCGGCAAGAAAGGAGUCCUCUUCACCAAGCUGCCCGACGGACAGAUCCAGUCAAAGAAGGCCUUCUCCUAUUCUUCACGCAGCCAGAAACUCCCGGGCGGUAUUGUUCUGUAGAAAUAAACACAUAACCGGAGGGCUGGUUCA